rnacentral:lncRNA from 1 species
CAAGGACGCCAUCUUCCUGCCAAACGCUACACCGCCCUGCCGCAGACCGGCGACCCUGCGGAGGGAUUUGUGAGCCCUGAGUCAAUUCUGCCAAGGCUAAGCAGAAAUUAGAAUGGUGUUUCCUGGGAGUUUGGUAGAGGAGGACAGAGGGAGUUGCCGUUCAAUGGGUGUACAGUCUCAGUGAUGCGUGAUGAAACGCUUCUGGAGAUGUGCUCUACAAUGCUGUGCUUGUAGUUAAAGGUUCGAAGCUCUAGGGAAAAAUACAGGAGACAAUAAGCCACCAUCACCUGUGGGAACUAGAAGAGCUCUAACAGUGGCACUCUCUGGACCCAGAGGGUGGAUGUUGCCCCUCCAAUGACAGCCAUCCACCUGGCCUGCCUCCGGCAGCUGUAAUUGAGAUGCUCAGACCCUCCCCAGACGGCCACAACAGGGAGCUCGCCAAGGUUUCUCUAUCACUGCGGUGGGCACUGUACAGAUGGAAUCCCACAUGUUGGACAAAAGAUCAGGAUCCUUUUUGAUCUCCUGCACAGCAAACUCCAGAGCUGCAGCCUGUUGAUAGUUUCUGUGGAGACACUUGCAGUUUAGAGACAAUAUCAUAAUUAAGAACUUUCUUGAAAAUACAACUUGACCUCCAUGUGUCUGUGGGCUGGUUCCUUUUUAAACUUUAAGAUACCAGAAAUUAUGAGAUGUUAUCUCUUCAGACAUUAUAAAUAGUGUUUUAGACUAUAAAGUAUGCAGUAAUGGAGUUUUUUCCAUGUGUCCUUUUUUAAAAUUGGAUUUUUCAAAAAGAAAGUGAAUGGGUCAUCUUUGCACAGUCAACACAAGUCAUGACUACGUCACAGAGACUUUGCCAGAAACUAAUGUGGUGUGUAGAAGAAAAAGACAACAGGAAGACAGUAAACAGAAGUGGUUAAGAGUGUGGAAUUGGCAACAAAACCACCUAGAUAAAAGCUCCACCACUUAGAAGCUGUGUGAUCGAGUGCAACUUACUUAACAUUUACGUGUGUCGGUCUUCUCAAGUAUGAG